rnacentral:rRNA from 1 species
AACGAACGCUGGCAGCAGGCUUAACACAUGCAUGUCGAGCGCCCCGCAAGGGGAGCGGCAGACGGGUGAGUAACGCGUGGGAAUCUACCCAUCUCUACGGAAUAACGCAUGGAAACGUGUGCUAAUACCGUAUACGUCCUUCGGGAGAAAGAUUUAUCGGAGAUGGAUGAGCCCGCGUUGGAUUAGCUAGUUGGUGGGGUAAAGGCCUACCAAGGCGACGAUCCAUAGCUGGUCUGAGAGGAUGAUCAGCCACACUGGGACUGAGACACGGCCCAGACUCCUACGGGAGGCAGCAGUGGGGAAUAUUGGACAAUGGGCGCAAGCCUGAUCCAGCCAUGCCGCGUGAGUGAUGAAGGCCCUAGGGUUGUAAAGCUCUUCCACCGGUGAAGAUAAUGACGGUAACCGGAGAAGAAGCCCCGGCUAACUUCGUGCCAGCCGCCGCAGUAAUAC